UCUGGGCUCAAGCUGUGAACUUCCUAACCAUAAGGAACCAUAUUAGUUACUUUUCUGUUGCUGUGAUGGAACACCAUGACCAAAAGCAGUUUGGUUCACAGUUCCAGAAAGAUGAGAAUGGAUCGUGGUGGGAGGUGAUGGAGUAGCUCAGAGUUCAUAUCUUGAACUAAAAGCACAAAGCAGAGAGAACAAACAGAAAGUGGUACAAGACUUUUAAUUUCCGACUCUGCCCUCUGAGUGAGUCAAGAAUGCAUUUCACCUGGUGUGUCCUACUCUAGACUUGAUUGCACUAGAAGCCAGCAAACUUAAAAAAAAAAGUCCUGAAAUAUGAAGAAACUGCCCAGAAUUACCAGAAGUGAAGAGCAUCCAGCAUACUGUUCUUUCUCACAGGUGGGGAAAACAAACAAACAAACAAAGGAUGAACUGAGCAGACCACACUGCAACUGAGCCUUCUAGGAAUUUUUGAAAACACGGAAGACAGUCAAGAGGAAAACUAGGGGCUGGGAAGAUGGCCUGGUGCGGAAAGUCUUGCUAUCCUUUCUUCAUGUCCAAAUAGAGGCUUGUGUGGGCCUGACAUAGUCUAUCAACUUUCUUCCCACAUUCCUUUGCCACGGAGCUUAAUGGAUAAAGUACAGAGAAGCCUAGACAGAGACUCUUCUGUGAUGGAGCUGUUUGUUCCUGUGUGGACUGAGUCAGGUCUUCUUUCAUGAGCACAGUUAAGAAGCUAUCCUUGCUCUGCUAGCAAGAUUGCAAAUGUGCCCAGAAACUGAGGGACUCACUCUGUUCCUGUUGAGGAUGAAAUGGAAGUACAACAUGGCACCCCUCUUUGCUUCUUACAACACCCUCACCCGCUGGAUAUGGCUGAAGUGUUCCCAAUGGCCCAAACUUCUAAAAAGAGAUCUUACCGAGAUGUUAUUCCCUGAGAGAGAUGUCAUUCCAUCAUUGGCAUGAAUAAGUUAUGAAAAGCCUUCAUGACUGAAAGAGACAUAAUCAUCAUUCAUGUAAAACAGAUUUGUUUAUUCUGUAAAGAUUCAUUUCAGUUGAUUAAUUAUCAGUAUCUGUUGUUGGGGGGGUAAGAAGGCUGCUCUGAUGAGGGAAUUAUUGAAGUACAUGUUUAGAAUAUUUAUCACGGUGCAUGUAUUGGAUAAACACCAUAUUCAUCAUAUUCUUUUAUCUGAGAUCUUCCUUCCCCAGAACAGAUUCCGAGAGCCAUGCAUUUGGCAGUUUUCCAUCCAAUACACUCUACUUCUUGUGGAGGAACAGAUGUGUGUGUGUUUUACAAACUUCCGUAAAUUCGAUUAACCAUGAUGUUUUGAUUCUUUUGUCUCCCACAACCUUAGGCAAAACCACUUCAAAAGAGAAAUCAAAUGGCUACC